GAGAAGAACGUAGCGAAAUGCGAUAAGUAAUGUGAAUUGCAGAAUUCAGUGAAUCAUCGAAUCUUUGAACGCACCUUGCGCUCUUUGGUAUUCCGAAGAGCAUGCCUGUUUGAGUGUCAUGAAAAUAUCAACCUUGACUUGGGUUUUGUGCUCUAGUCUCGGCUUGGAAUUGGGUGCUUGCCGCUUUUACGAGCGGCUCACCUUAAAUGUAUUAGCUGGAUCUGUCUUUGAGACUUGGUUUGACUUGGCGUAAUAAGUAUUUCGCUAAGGACAUUCUUCGGAGUGGCCUCGUUUCUAGGACGCUUGUCCGCUUUCCAAUACAAGUUCCACCUCGUGGACAUGACUUUUUAUUAUCUGGCCUCAAAUCAGGUAGGACUACCCGCUGAACUUAAGCAUAUCAAUAAGCGGAGGA
rnacentral:misc_RNA from 1 species